AGGGGUUAAUCGGGAUUUAUGGGGCGUAAGCGCACGCAGGCGGUCUUGUCAAGUCGGAUGUGAAAUCCCCGGGCUCAACCUGGGAACUGCAUUCGAAACUGGCAGGCUGGAGUCUUGUAGAGGGGGGUAGAAUUCCAGGUGUAGCGGUGAAAUGCGUAGAGAUCUGGAGGAAUACCGGUGGCGAAGGCGGCCCCCUGGUCAAAGACUGACGCUCAGGUGCGAAAGCGUGGGGAGCAAACAGGAUUAGAUACCCUGGUAGUCCACGCCGUAAACGAUGUCUAUUUGGAGGUUGUGCCCUUGAGGCGUGGCUUCCGGAGCUAACGCGUUAAAUCGACCGCCUGGGGAGUACGGCCGCAAGGUUAAAACUCAAAUGAAUUGACGGGGGCCCGCACAAGCGGUGGAACAUGUGGUUUAAUUCGAUGCAACGCGAAAAACCUUACCUGGUCUUGACAUCCACAGAACUUUCCAGAGAUGGAUUGGUGCCUUCGGGAACUGUGAGACAGGUGCUGCAUGGCUGUCCGUCAGCUCGUGUUGUGAAAAUGUUGGGGUUAAGUCCCGCAACGAGUGCA
rnacentral:rRNA from 1 species